GAGACUUUAGUUUAAGGGUAAAACAUGUGACUUUUAAUCAUUAUAAUAUGGGUUCAAUUCCCAUAAGUCUUA
rnacentral:tRNA from 1 species